GAUGAACGCUGGCGGCGUGCCUAAUACAUGCAAGUCGAGCGAACAGACGAGGAGCUUGCUUCUCUGACGUUAGCGGCGGACGGGUGGGUAACACGUGGAUAACCUACCUAUAAGACUGGGAUAACUUCGGGAAACCGGAGCUAAUACCGGAUAAUAUAUUGAACCGCAUGGUUCAAUAGUGAAAGACGGUUUUGCUGUCACUUAUAGAUGGAUCCGCGCCGCAUUAGCUAGUUGGUAAGGUAACGGCUUACCAAGGCAACGAUGCGUAGCCGACCUGAGAGGGUGAUCGGCCACACUGGAACUGAGACACGGUCCAGACUCCUACGGGAGGCAGCAGUAGGGAAUCUUCCGCAAUGGGCGAAAGCCUGACGGAGCAACGCCGCGUGAGUGAUGAAGGUCUUCGGAUCGUAAAACUCUGUUAUUAGGGAAGAACAAAUGUGUAAGUAACUAUGCACGUCUUGACGGUACCUAAUCAGAAAGCCACGGCUAACUACGUG
rnacentral:rRNA from 1 species